UCCGUGUUAACCACGGCAGUCUCUCUAGAGUGCCCAACUUAAUGCUGGCAACUAAAGACAAGGGUUGCGCUCGUUGCGGGACUUAACCCAACAUGUCACCACACGAGCUGACGACAGCCAUGCAGCACCUGUCACUUGGUCGUAUUGCUACGAAAGCCGUAUCUCUACGGAUGUCCAAGGAUGUCAAACCCAGGUAAGGUUUUUCGCGUUGCUUCGAAUUAAACCACAUGAUCCACCGCUUGUGCGGGCCCCCGUCAAUUCCUUUGAGUUUUAGUCUUGCGACCGUACUUCCCAGGCGGGGAACUUAUCGCGUUAGCUCCGACUCGGCGGGGGUCAAGACCCACCAAGUCUAGUUCCCAUCGUUUACGGCGUGGACUAC
rnacentral:misc_RNA from 1 species